ACGGGUGAGUAACGCGUGGGAACGUACCUUUUGGUUCGGAACAACUGAGGGAAACUUCAGCUAAUACCGGAUAAGCCCUUACGGGGAAAGAUUUAUCGCCGAAAGAUCGGCCCGCGUCUGAUUAGCUAGUUGGUGAGGUGAUGGCUCACCAAGGCGACGAUCAGUAGCUGGUCUGAGAGGAUGAUCAGCCACAUUGGGACUGAGACACGGCCCAAACUCCUACGGGAGGCAGCAGUGGGGAAUAUUGGACAAUGGGCGAAAGCCUGAUCCAGCCAUGCCGCGUGAGUGAUGAAGGCCCUAGGGUUGUAAAGCUCUUUUGUGCGGGAAGAUAAUGACGGUACCGCAAGAAUAAGCCCCGGCUAACUUCGUGCCAGCAGCCGCGGUAAUACGAAGGGGGCUAGCGUUGCUCGGAAUCACUGGGCGUAAAGGGUGCGUAGGCGGGUUCUUAAGUCAGAGGUGAAAUCCUGGAGCUCAACUCCAGAACUGCCUUUGAUACUGAGAGUCUUGAGUAUGACAGAGGUGAGUGGAACUGCGAGUGUAGAGGUGAAAUUCGUAGA
rnacentral:rRNA from 1 species